UGAGGAAUAUUGCGCAAUGGGGGAAACCCUGACGCAGCGACGCCGCGUGGGUGAAGAAGGCCUUCGGGUUGUAAAGCCCUGUCAGGUGGGAAGAAAUGCAUGUAAGUUAAUACCUUACAUGUUUGACGGUACCACCAGAGGAAGCACCGGCUAAAUCCGUGCCAGCAGCCGCGGUAAUACGGAUGGUGCGAGCGUUGUUCGGAAUUACUGGGCGUAAAGGGCGCGUAGGCGGCCCUGUAAGUCAGAUGUGAAAGCCCUCGGCUCAACCGAGGAAGUGCAUCUGAAACUGCAGAGCUUGAGUAUGGGAGAGGAAAGUGGAAUUCCCGGUGUAGAGGUGAAAUUCGUAGAGAUCGGGAGGAAUACCGGUGGCGAAGGCGACUUUCUGGACCAAUACUGACGCUGAGGCGCGAAAGCGUGGGGAGCAAACA
rnacentral:rRNA from 1 species